CUGGUCGGGGCUGGCCGGGGCUGCUCCGGCGGCCAAAACGGCAAGGGAAAGCCGGCGGAGGGUAAGGGGGACGCCGGGGAAGUCCGGCGGGGUUGAACGGCGGCCGGAGGUGGCCGGACAAGGGCGGAACAGGGGCUAGGUCGCGCGGAUUCGCUCGGGGGAAGGGGCGUCUGGACGGAGGAGAAGGUAGGCGGCGCACGGGGGCGAGC
rnacentral:lncRNA from 1 species